rnacentral:rRNA from 1 species
GAUGAACGCUGGCGGCGUGCCUAAUACAUGCAAGUCGAGCGAACAGACGAGGAUCUUGCUCCUCUGACGUUAGCGGCGGACGGGUGAGUAACACGUGGAUAACCUACCUAUAAGACUGGGAUAACUUCGGGAAACCGGAUCUAAUACCGGAUAAUAUAUUGAACCGCAUGGUUCAUUAGUGAAAGACGGUUUUGCUGUCACUUAUAGAUGGAUCCGCGUCGCAUUAGCUAGUUGGUAAGGUAACGGCUUACCAAGGCGACGAUGCGUAGCUGACCUGAGAGGGUGAUCAGCCACACUGGAACUGAGACACGGUCCAGACUCCUACGGGAGGCAGCAGUAGGGAAUAUUGCGCAAUGGGCGAAAGCCUGACGGAGCAACGCCGCGUGAGUGAUGAAGGUCUUCGGAUCGUAAAACUCUGUUAUUAGGGAAGAACAAAUGUGUAAGUAACUAUGCACGUCUUGACGGUACCUAAUCAGAAAGCCACGGCUAACUACGUG